AUGGCAGCGGAGGUCCAGGAGGUAUGGAAGAACAUGAGAUUCCCCGCCGCUGCUCCCUUCGACAUGGAUGACUCUGAUGAAGAAGUAGGAGUAGAAUAUGGAGAAGGAGCAACAGAAGGAGGAGGAGAAGAGGCGGGACAAGGACAAGGAGAAGAAGAUCUCCACAACAAGGAUAACCAACGCUAUGCAGAAGAAGAAGAAGAAGAAGAAGAAGAAGAAGAAAAAGAAGAAGAAGAAGAAGAAGAAGAAGAAAAAGAAGAAGAAGAAGAAGAAGAAGAAGAAGAAGUAACAGAAGAAGAUUAUGAUGAUGAAGCAGAGGUGCAACGGAGGAUGUGGGUCAAGGUGAAGCUAUCGACUUUUCCGGAGGCCGUAGCGCUAGAACCACAUGAGCUGGAGGCCACCAUCGACAGGAUCCUCGACCCGGUGCCUGCAGAUGAUUAUUCUACUCGCAUGACAGGUGCCAACAUCAAUUUGGUUUUGGCCUAUAAGAGGAAGGAUCCAGUCGAUGACAGUAUGCAUCCGGAGGAGUUCCAGGCCAUUGUCCGCCGUGACUUGAUCACACGGGGGUACGUCGAGGUGGACCAAGAGUAUUGGGCCAAGAUGGAGCCAUGUUUUGCCAGGUAUGAUCCGGGGAUUUACAACUCUUCUCAUACUCAAAACGAAGAGGAGUACAAUGAUUGUCCUGUUGAUCUAGAGAAACAUGAGGACGAUGAUUCUUUUGAACAGCAGGAAGAUGAGGACAAUGAUCCUCUUGAACAGGGGCAGGAGCAGGAUGAUGCAUGA
rnacentral:rRNA from 1 species